UACAGAGGGUGCAAGCGUUAAUCGGAAUUACUGGGCGUAAAGCGUGCGUAGGCGGAUAGCUAAGUCGAUUGUGAAAGCCCCGGGCUUAACCUGGGAACUGCAGUCGAUACUGGUUAUCUAGAGUAUGGUAGAGGAAAGUGGAAUUCCCGGUGUAGCGGUGAAAUGCGUAGAUAUCGGGAGGAACAUCAGUGGCGAAGGCGGCUUUCUGGACCAAUACUGACGCUGAGGUACGAAAGCGUGGGGAGCAAACAGG
rnacentral:rRNA from 1 species